GGACGUGUAGCCUAGUGGUCUAAGGCAUCGAGCUUGAACCUCGACGUGGCGUCAAACCACCAAGCGUUCGAAUCGCUUCAUGUCCGUCA
rnacentral:tRNA from 1 species